GAUGAACGCUGGCGGCGUGCCUAAUACAUGCAAGUCGAGCGAACAGACGAGGAGCUUGCUCCUCUGACGUUAGCGGCGGACGGGUGAGUAACACGUGGAUAACCUACCUAUAAGACUGGGAUAACUUCGGGAAACCGGAGCUAAUACCGGAUAACAUGUUGAACCGCAUGGUUCAACAGUGAAAGACGGUCUUGCUGUCACUUAUAGAUGGAUCCGCGCCGCAUUAGCUAGUUGGUAAGGUAACGGCUUACCAAGGCAACGAUGCGUAGCCGACCUGAGAGGGUGAUCGGCCACACUGGAACUGAGACACGGUCCAGACUCCUACGGGAGGCAGCAGUAGGGAAUCUUCCGCAAUGGGCGAAAGCCUGACGGUGCAACGCCGCGUGAGUGAAGAAGGUCUUCGGAUCGUAAAACUCUGUUAUUAGGGAAGAACAAAUGUGUAAGUAACUAUGCACGUCUUGACGGUACCUAAUCAGAAAGCCACGGCUAACUACGUG
rnacentral:rRNA from 1 species